GAUGAAGAACGUAGCGAAAUGCGAUACGUAAUGUGAAUUGCAGAAUUCAGUGAAUCAUCGAGUCUUUGAACGCACAUUGCGCCCCCUGGUAUUCCGGGGGGCAUGCCUGUCCGAGCGUCAUUGCUGCCCUCAAGCACGGCUUGUGUGUUGGGCCUCCGUCCUCCUCCCGGGGGACGGGCCCGAAAGGCAGCGGCGGCACCGCGUCCGGUCCUCGAGCGUAUGGGGCUUCGUCACCCGCUCUUGUAGGCCCGGCCGGCGCUUGCCGACACAUCAAUCUUUUUUCCAGGUUGACCUCGGAUCAGGUAGGGAUACCCGGUGAACUUAAGCAUAUCAAUAAGCGGAGGA
rnacentral:misc_RNA from 1 species